AUGCCCCAAAGCCUCUGGGGACACCCCGAUGUCCUUGAUGGGACCCAAGACUUUGGGGACACCCCGAUGUCCUCGAUGGGUCAUCGAGUCUUUGGGGACACCCUGCUGUCCCCAGUAGGACCCAAGUCUUUGGGGACAUCCCAAUGUCCUCGAUGGAUCCCAAGCCUUUGGGGACAACUCGGUGUCCUCGAUGGGUCCCAAGUCUCUGGGGACACCCCAAUGUCCCCAGUAGGACCCAAGACUUUGGGGCCACCCCAAUGUCCUUGAUGGGACCCAAGUCUUUGGGGACACCCCGAUGUCCCCGGUAGGACCCAAACCUCCGGGGCCACCGCGAUGUCCUC